CUACGGGAGGCAGCAGUAAGGAAUAUUGGACAAUGGGCGGCAGCCUGAUCCAGCCAUCCCGCGUGCAGGAAGACGGCGCUCUGCGUUGUAAACUGCUUUUAUAUACCAAGAAACGCCUUUACGUGUAAGGGUUUGACGGUAGUAUAUGAAUAAGCACCGGCUGACUCCGUGCCAGCAGCCGCGGUAAUACGGAGGGUGCAAGCGUUAUCCGGAAUUACUGGGUUUAAAGGGUGCGUAGGCGGCAUUAUAAGUCAGUGGUGAAAAGUCUGGGCUUAACCGAGGCCUUGCCAUUGAAACUGUAAAGCUUGAAAUAAGUUGAGGUAGGCGGAAUGUGACAUGUAGCGGUGAAAUGCAUAGAUAUGUCAUAGAACACCAAUUGCGAAGGCAGCUUACUAGACUUUAUUUGACGCUGAGGCACGAAAGCGUGGGUAGCGAACAGGAUUAGAUACCCUGGUAGUCCACGCCCUAAACGAUGUUUACUCGAUAUUUGGGUCUUGAAUCUGAGUGUCUAAGGGAAACCGAUAAGUAAACCACCUGGGGAGUACGUUCGCAAGAAUG
rnacentral:rRNA from 1 species